UCCCUCUUUGCCAACUAUGAAUCUAAAAAAAUUUACUUGAUCUUGACAAGAAAUGCAUUUCUCAAAGUUGGUAUAGAGGUGGUUGUCCCUAAGAAUUAUUAAGACUUGCCUUAGAUGUCCAAGAUGCUCACCUAAGGUUUUGCUAUAUACAAGGAUGUCAUCAAAAUAAACCACUAUAAAUUUUCCUAUGCAAUCCCUAAGUAUAUGAUUCAUUAGACGCAUGAAGGUACUAGAGGCAUUAGUGAGGCCAAAAGGCGUCACUAACCAUUCAUACAAACCAAAUUUGGCUUUAAAAGGCACUAUAGAGCUCAUUCCAAUAUUGGAUUGAGGGCUCAUGAUUUAUUCUCCUUUCUUUUUCUAAGGAGGUCCACCAAUACCUAGCAUGUUCUUUCAUUUUUGUAUGCCACUUCUAAAUGAGAAUUGAGUUCUGCUAAAUUCAUUUUUGUAUGUCACUGCUAAAUGAGUAUUGGUUUGAUUGUUAAUUUCAUUUUUUUGUUCAUGCUUUUGGUGACCAGUAUAGGGCCACUGAUGCAAUAAUCAGCAGACUAGGGAAGCUUAAGUUGGUAUUUGUCCCAGAAGAUGGUGAUGCUCCAACGGAGCUUGAUGUUUACAAUUUCAAAGGCCCAGGUGUAGCACUUGCUAUGUAUAAUGUUGAUGAGGAUUUGGCUCAUUAGGUCUCAUGACUUUUGUGCUGUUAUCUUCUGAUGGCAAGACAUUGGAAGCUGAGGCAGCUCAUGGAAUUGUAACUCGACAUUUUCAGUUUCAUAUUUAUGUGGCCUUCUUCUUUUCAGCUAAGUUUUUUUCCUAGACUAACAUUGAACACAUGAUAUGCCAUUUCUGAAUUAGAAUUAGGAAUUAUAUGAUAGUAUAAUUGCCAAACUAAUGCAACAUUUCUUCCUGUGAGUUUAAAACAUUUAUAAAUAUCAAAGCUUUUAGGUUGAGUCCCACGAAUGAGUCAUGAUUUGUGUAUCUUUAUUCUCUAACAUGUCCCUUUACAUAAGAGUCACUUUAACUCUUUACGUGUGGACAAUGCACAAGCCCACUUCACUUUGUACUAAAUUUAAUUUAAUUUUGUGAAUGAUGAGGUGACAUGUAUUGUGCUCUUGACCACUUAGUCACAAAAUUAAAAAUUAGAAGCUCUAUUGUGAUUAUCUAAAUAUAAAUCAUAAAUGUUACUAAUGGCUUUAAAGAUCCUUGAUAUAAUUUCAUAGAUUAGUUUGCUAGCAUAUAAUCAAAUAUAAAACGCUGAACUUGGUUAUGAUAAGCCCGUCACUAACUGAUAUCAGCAAGGUUUCUUGAGCAUAUAAAUAAGAGAAAGACCAUUGUUCAAAAAACAUGUUAUAACUAAUGCUUGUGUGUAUUUAUGCCAGGUUCUUCAAGAGUUUCUGAACCGAGCCAAAGAAUCAAACGUUCAAAGAUAUAAGAUUCCAGAUUUACAGCUUGUAAAUCUUAAAGAUUUGUUGGCGGACUUAAAGAGCAGUAGUGAGGAAAUCUAGCCAUGCUGGAGGGAGAAAGAGGGAGAUAGAUAUAUGAAAGGGGGAGAGAGAGGGGGGAGGGAGAAUGCAAGCGAAGGGGAGUCAAAGUGAGAAAGAAAAAUAAAAGGAGAGAGAGGGAGAGGGAGAGAGACAAAGAGAGGGGCGAGAGACAGAGGAAAAGAAAAAAGGAGUGUGAGAGAGAGUGAUAAAGAGAGGCAGAAAGAGAAAUAGAUGACAAGAGAAAAAAAAAAGAAGAUAUUUUUUGUUUUAAAAAAAGAUAAUGUAAUCUUUUUAUAUUCAUAAAACUUUUCCCUUAAUUCAACAAAGUUGGAUUUCCAACCCAUGAAAACAUUUUUGUAAGAAAAUGGAAUAAACAUGAAAAUAGCUAUCAAACAUGAAAAACUAAUAUUCUCACUUUAA